rnacentral:rRNA from 1 species
UAGAGUUUGAUCAUGGCUCAGGACGAACGCUGGCGGCGUGCUUAACACAUGCAAGUCGAACGGAAUCCAUGGUGUAGCAAUACACCGGAAGAUUUAGUGGCGAACGGGUGAGGAUCACGUGAGAAACCUGCCCCAGACUUUGGGAUAACAAUUGGAAACGAUUGCUAAUACCGAAUGACGUCGGAGAACCGCAUGGUUCACUGACGAAAGGAAAUCCGGUUUGGGAGGGUCUCGCGGCCUAUCAGCUUGUUGGUGGGGUAAUGGCCUACCAAGGCAACGACGGGUAGCUGGUCUGAGAGGAUGAUCAGCCACACUGGGACUGAGACACGGCCCAGACUCCUACGGGAGGCAGCAGUGGGGAAUCUUGCGCAAUGGGCGAAAGCCUGACGCAGCAACGCCGCGUGCGGGAUGAAGGCCUUCGGGCUGUAAACCGCUUUCAGCAGGAACGAAAAUGACGGUACCUGCAGAAGAAGGAGCGGCCAACUACGUGCCAGCAGCCGCGGUGACACGUAGGCUCCAAGCGUUGUCCGGAUUUAUUGGGCGUAAAGAGCUCGUAGGCGGUUUAGUAAGUCGGGUGUUAAAACUCUGGGCUCAACCCGGAGAGGCCAUCCCGAUACUGCUGUGACUUGAGUUCAGGAGGGGAGCGGGGAAUUCCUAGUGUAGCGGUGAAAUGCGCAGAUAUUAGGAGGAACACCGGUGGCGAAGGCGCCGCUCUGGACUGAAACUGACGCUGAGGAGCGAAGCAUGGGUAGCAAACAGGAUUAGAUACCCUGGUAGUCCAUGCCGUAAACGGUGGGCACUAGGUGUGGGUUCC